rnacentral:lncRNA from 1 species
CUAUUUUAUGGAGAUUAAUGUACAAUUCUUUUCUUUUACUGUUUCAGUAGGUUCGUUUGAAGAAGAGAUCAGAGAGUCGUGAACUUGAAUCUAAUGGCAACAGUGGUAAGGGUUCUUUGCUCCUAAAAUCAGCUGUGGUGUUUAGUUUUGAAUUCUAUAUUCUUUAUUCUGUCUUAGUUAUAUAUAUGUCUCUGAAGGUUUAUUUCGUCAACACAUAAUGAAUAAGUUGCUGUGAUCAUAUUAUGCUGGUUUUAUAACUUCUACUAUGGUGCAAGGUUAUAGUUUGGGCGUUCUAAGUGUAUAUUUGCCAAUAUGAUAAUAAAAUUCGCAACCAUCCUCAUAGAUUUUUCAUUCACACAAUCUUUGAUGAUGUUGGGUCGUACCAGAUGUUAUGUUUCAGUUCUUAAGAACAUAGUGAUGUGUGAAAAGAAAGUAAAAAAGUUAUUUUACAAAUGAACAUGGGAAGAUUGUUUAAUGAAAAUCAUGAUUCUCUGAACAGUACAACGUGAUGCAUUCUAUUUUAUCUGUGAGAAUAAUAAUUACUAAUCUAUUCAUUUGCCUGGUCAUUGUGCUUUAGGUUCAAAAUGCUGAUGAUAAUAUUUAUCCUAGAAAUGUGCUACCAACUUUGACAUUCAUGCUUUAGGAAAAGUGCAAUAUUGCACUCUGUGAUGUUGGAAAUUCUACAGGGAAAACAUAUUAGGGAUAUAUUGGAAAGGAAGGCAUUAGCCUCAAAUCUGUAUUCUGGGUAUUUAGGCAGUUUUUGCCGAACUCCUUUCUUUUAACCUACUGAUUUAUGUUAUUUAUUAUUAUUAUUUUUUGCACAUAAUGUCUUCAUUUUAAUGGAAGAGAAGUUUUUAAAAAUAAACUCAAAGGGACUUGAUAGUCUAGAAAAUAAUAUCUAAAUAUGUAAUGGAAUCAAAAGGUACACAAACACGGAACUUAGCAUUACAGCUUCAAUAUAUAAAGUUUAAAAAGAUGCUUGACGAUACACCCAUAGUUAUGAAAAAAGAAGUUGGUAAUAACAUAGUUAAGUUUUAUGUUGGGGAGAAGAAAAUGACAUGGAUUGUAGUAUCUGUUGACACA